rnacentral:rRNA from 1 species
CCGUUGGUGAACCAGCGGAGGGAUCAUUACCGAGUUCUCGCAACUCCCAAACCCACGCGAACCUACCACAGUUGCUUCGGCGGCCGAGGCCCCGCGGCGCAGGCGUCUCACGGCGCCCGCCGCGGAACAAGGCCCCCGCCGGAGGCACCAAAACCCUGUAUUGGCGCCCGCGCAAGCGAGCCAGAAUUCUGAGUGGCCCUCCGGGGCGCAAGCAAAUGAAUCAAAACUUUCAGCAACGGAUCUCUUGGUUCUGGCAUCGAUGAAGAACGCAGCGAAAUGCGAUAAGUAAUGUGAAUUGCAGAAUUCAGUGAAUCAUCGAAUCUUUGAACGCACAUUGCGCCCGCCAGCACUCUGGCGGGCAUGCCUGUUCGAGCGUCAUUUCAACCCUCGAGGCCCCCCGGGGCGUCGGCGUUGUGGGGGGACGGCCCGCCUCGCGCGGCGCCGCCCCCGAAAUGCAGUGGCGUCCGCGCCGCAGCCUCCCCUGCGCAGUAGCACGAGCCCAGGCUCAGAGACCUCGCACCGGAGCGCGGCGCGGCCCCGCCGUAAAACACCCAACUCACGAAAGGUUGACCUCGGAUCAGGUAGGACUACCCGCUGAACUUAAGCAUAUC